rnacentral:rRNA from 1 species
UACCAGCACCCCGAGUGGUCGGGACGUUUAUUGGGCCUAAAGCAUCCGUAGCCGGUCAUGCAGGUCCUCCGUUAAAUCCAGCCGCUCAACGGUUGGGCUGCGGAGGAUACUACGUGGCUAGGAGGCGGGAGAGGCAAGCGGUACUCAGUGGGUAGGGGUAAAAUCCGUUGAUCCAUUGAAGACCACCAGUGGCGAAGGCGGCUUGCCAGAACGCGCUCGACGGUGAGGGAUGAAAGCUGGGGGAGCAAACCGG